rnacentral:rRNA from 1 species
UACGUAGGUGGCAAGCGUUGUCCGGAUUUAUUGGGCGUAAAGAGCGUGUAGGCGGCUAGAUAGGUCCGUUGUGAAAACUCGAGGCUCAACCUCGAGACGUCGAUGGAAACCAUCUGGCUAGAGUCCGGAAGAGGAGAGUGGAAUUCCUGGUGUAGCGGUGAAAUGCGCAGAUAUCAGGAGGAACACCCGUGGCGAAAGCGGCUCUCUGGGACGGUACUGACGCUGAGACGCGAAAGCGUGGGGAGCAAACAGG